AAAGAAAAGGAAAAAGGGAGUGAAGUGAAGAAUUGAAGUUCAAAGUAAAAGGAAUAUGUCCCACUAGUAUCCUCAUUGCUAGAGGCAAUGAAAGGAGGAUGACACUGCUUAUCAUUAAAAUGAUAAUUUCGUCUUAACUUGGGUCUGUGAUGCUAGGCGUCUUUUGUUUUAUCAAGUUUCAAAUGGCGUUGCUUCAAGAACAAGAAAGUGAAGAAUCAUGCGAGUGCCACGUAGACAGUAGUUCUCUCAUUUGCUUGCUCUCUCUCGCAUGAUAAUACGCUCUUGCUGACUGUGUAAAUUUGUGUUUAAGCGUAAUGAUUUUUUAAAUUCAAU
rnacentral:misc_RNA from 1 species